rnacentral:rRNA from 1 species
AUUCCAGCUUCAGUAGCGUAUAUUAAAGUUGUUGCAGUUAAAAAGCUCGUAGUCGCAUUUCUGGCGAGAGGAAUUGGUCCGACAUUUAUUGUGGGUACUCGGUUCUCUCUCGCCAUCCUUGAGUGGUCCGUUCUGGCAUUUAGUUGUCGGAGCGUCAGCCGCUCAUCGUUUACUGUGAGAAAAUUAGAGUGUUCAAAGCAGGCUUAUGCCGUUGAAUAUAUUAGCAUGGAAUAAUAAGAUAGGACCUCGGUGCUAUUUUGUUGGUUUGCGCACAGAGGUAAUGAUGAACAGGGACAGUUGGGGGUAUUUGUAUUUCGUUGUCAGAGGUGAAAUUCUUAGAUUUACGAAAGACGAACUACUGCGAAAGCAUUUACCAAGGAUGUUUUCAUCA